UUGGAUGCAGCUCAGUGGUAGAGCACGUGUUUUGCAUGCACAAGGCCCUAGGGUUCAAUCCCUAGGAUUCAAU
rnacentral:tRNA from 1 species